CUUUUGACCUCGGAUCAGGUAGGGAUACCCGCUGAACUUAAGCAUAUCAAUAAGCGGAGGAAAAGAAACCAACAGGGAUUGCCCUAGUAACGGCGAGUGAAGCGGCAACAGCUCAAAUUUGAAAUCUGGCUCUUUUAGAGUCCGAGUUGUAAUUUGCAGAGGGCGCUUUGGCUUUGGCAGCGGUCCAAGUUCCUUGGAACAGGACGUCACAGAGGGUGAGAAUCCCGUACGUGGUCGCUGGCUAUUGCCGUGUAAAGCCCCUUCGACGAGUCGAGUUGUUUGGGAAUGCAGCUCUAAAUGGGAGGUACAUUUCUUCUAAAGCUAAAUAUUGGCCAGAGACCGAUAGCGCACAAGUAGAGUGAUCGAAAGAUGAAAAGCACUUUGGAAAGAGAGUCAAACAGCACGUGAAAUUGUUGAAAGGGAAGCGCUUGCAGCCAGACUUGCUUACAGUUGCUCAUCCGGGUUUCUACCCGGUGCACUCUUCUGUAGGCAGGCCAGCAUCAGUUUGGGCGGUAGGAUAAAGGUCUCUGUCACGUACCUCCUUUCGGGGAGGCCUUAUAGGGGAGACGACAUACUACCAGCCUGGACUGAGGUCCGCGCAUCUGCUAGGGAUGCUGGCGUAAUGCUUAA
rnacentral:rRNA from 1 species